AUCGAACGCUGGCGGCAGGCCUAAUACAUGCAAGUCGAGCGGCGCGGCGGACGGGUGAGUAAUGCCUAGGAAUCUGCCUGGUAGUGGGGGAUAACGUACGGAAACGGGCGCUAAUACCGCAUACUAUCAGAUGAGCCUCGGUCGGAUUAGCUAGUUGGUGGGGUAAAGGCUUAGCAAGGUGACGAUCCCUAGCUGGUCUGAGAGGAUGACCAGCCACACUGGAACUGAGACACGGCCCAGACUCCUCAGGGGGGCAGCAGUGGGGAAAAUUGCACAAUGGGCACAAGCCUGAUGCAGCCAUGCCGCGUGUAUGAAGAAGGCCUUCGGGUUGUAAAGUACUUUCAGCGGAGAGGCGUUACCCGCAGAAGAAGCACCGGCUAACUCCGUGCCAGCAGCCGCGGUAAUAC
rnacentral:rRNA from 1 species